UACAGAGGGUGCGAGCGUUAAUCGGAAUUACUGGGCGUAAAGCGUGCGUAGACGGCUAUUUAAGUCGGGUGUGAAAGCCCCGGGCUCAACCUGGGAAUUGCAUUCGAGACUGAGUAGCUAGGGUGCGGUAGAGGGAAGCGGAAUUUCCGGUGCAGCGGUGAAAUGCGUAGAUAUCGGAAGGAACAUCAGUGGCGAAAGCGGCUUCCUGGACCAGCACCGACGUUCAGGCACGAAAGCGUGGGGAGCAAACAGG
rnacentral:rRNA from 1 species